CGUAUAUAUAUGUACGUACAUAUAUUUCCAUACACGCGCGCAGCGCGCACACGGUUGGGAGGGGGAGUAACAAUUCGCGAACGUAACGCGAUCCAUUUCUAUUUGGCUUUGGAAAUAAAUCAAAGAUAGAUUAGAGAUACGAUUAAAUCCGUCCCUGGAUACAUUGGUAAAUUAAGAUUAUAAGCUGAUGCUAGCUUUUUAGGUACAAAUCUGCCUCCUAGAUAAUGAAACUUUCCUUUAAAUUUUAACGCGCACAUCUUUGGCGCUGUUAAGGAUAUCAACAUUUCUGGACAUAUAUCAUCUUUUACAGAUGGACCAUUUUCGACGUCCCAUCCUGAAGGAGGUUUAAAACUAAAUCCAAACACAGCAUCCACUAUGACUCUGAAUCCAUUUAAAAGCUCAACAGCAUCUUUAUCUUUUAUAAAUCCACUUUCUAAAAUAGUUAUAUCAUUUUCUUUAC